UACGAAGGGUGCAAGCGUUAAUCGGAAUUACUGGGCGUAAAGGGUGCGUAGGCGGUUCGUUAAGUCUGUUGUGAAAUCCCCGGGCUCAACCUGGGAAUGGCAAUGGAUACUGGCGGGCUAGAGUGUGUCAGAGGAUGGUGGAAUUCCCGGUGUAGCGGUGAAAUGCGCAGAGAUCGGGAGGAACACCAGUGGCGAAGGCGGCUACCUGGACCGAUACUGACGCUGAGGAGCGAAAGCCAGGGGAGCAAACGGG
rnacentral:rRNA from 1 species